rnacentral:rRNA from 1 species
GGCUGUGAUCAUACUAGCAUUUGUGCACCACAUCCCAUCAAAACAUCAUAGUUAAGCACUCUUGGUCCAGAGAAGUACAAGGAUGGAUGACCUCAUGGGAAAUCCCAAUGUCAGAUCUUC